rnacentral:rRNA from 1 species
CAGGCGGUUAGAUAAGUNUGAAGUUAAAGGCUGUGGCUUANCCAUAGUACGCUUUGGAAACUGUUUAACUUGAGUGCAGAAGGGGAGAGUGGAAUUCCAUGUGUAGCGGUGAAAUGCGUAGAUAUAUGGAGGAACACCGGUGGCGAAAGCGGCUCUCUGGUCUGUAACUGACGCUGAGGCUCGAAAGCGUGGGGAGCGAACAGGAUUAGAUACCCUGGUAGUCCACGCCGUAAACGAUGAGUGCUAGGUGUUAGGCCCUUUCCGGGGCUUAGUGCCGCAGCUAACGCAUUAAGCACUCCGCCUGGGGAGUACGACCGCAAGGUUGAAACUCAAAGGAAUUGACGGGGGCCCGCACAAGCGGUGGAGCAUGUGGUUUAAUUCGAAGCAACGCGAAGAACCUUACCAGGUCUUGACAUCCCGAUGCCCGCUCUAGAGAUAGAGUUUUACUUCGGUACAUCGGUGACAGGUGGUGCAUGGUUGUCGUCAGCUCGUGUCGUGAGAUGUUGGGUUAAGUCCCGCAACGAGCGCAACCCUUAUUGUUAGUUGCCAUCAUUCAGUUGGGCACUCUAGCGAGACUGCCGGUAAUAAACCGGAGGAAGGUGGGGAUGACGUCAAAUCAUCAUGCCCCUUAUGACCUGGGCUACACACGUGCUACAAUGGCUGGUACAACGAGUCGCAAGUCGGUGACGGCAAGCUAAUCUCUUAAAGCCAGACUCAGUUCGGAUUGUAGGCUGCAACUCGCCUACAUGAAGUCGGAAUCGCUAGUAAUCGCGGAUCAGCACGCCGCGGUGAAUACGUUCCCGGGCCUUGUACACACCGCCCGUCACACCACGAGAGUUUGUAACACCCGAAGUCGGUGAGGUAACCUUUUAGGAGC